rnacentral:rRNA from 1 species
AUUGAACGCUGGCGGCAGGCCUAACACAUGCAAGUCGAACGAGUGGCGGACGGGUGAGUAAUGUCUGGGAAACUGCCCGAUGGAGGGGGAUAACUACUGGAAACGGUAGCUAAUACCGCAUACCAUCGGAUGUGCCCAGAUGGGAUUAGCUAGUGGGUGGGGUAACGGCUAACCUAGGCGACGAUCCCUAGCUGGUCUGAGUGGAUGACCAGCCACACUGGAACUGAGACACGGGCCAAAUGCCUACGGGAGGCAGCAGUGGGGAAUAUUGCAGAAUGAGCGCAAGCCUGAUGCGGCCAUGCGGCGUGUAUGAGGAGGGCCUUCGGGUUGUAAAGUACUUUAAGCGAGGAGGCGUUACUCGAAGAAGAAGCACCGGCUAACUCCGUGCCAGCCGCCGCGGUAAUUC